rnacentral:tRNA from 1 species
AUAAGGGUAGCUCAACUGGAAGAGCAAUAGGUAGCUAAUCUAUAGCUGCGGGUUCAAGUCCCGCUCCUUAUC